CAGCUUAAUAACUUGUCAAUAGAAAUCGAAAUCAGAAUGAGAAUAUUAAUGCAAGCAAUAGGAACUAGUACAUAAGCACAAGCAAUCGGAUCUCCUCAGGUCAAGUCAGCACACCCGCUGUAAAGCCAUCUUGAAUAGGAAAGAAAGAAUGAAAUAAUAUGAGUCAAUCUUGUCUUUGCUGUAGCUUUUUCAUACCCUGGCUUUUUCACUAGACAAAGAUGGAUGCAUUUUCUUUCUAUCGAAAAAGAAAGCUAUUGUUUUUUAUGCUAUACAACCAACAACAAUUUCAUUGCCUCGUAUUCC
rnacentral:lncRNA from 1 species